GAUGAACGCUGGCGGCGUGCUUAACACAUGCAAGUCGAGCGAGAAAAGUUCUUCGGAGCUUUUCUAGCGGCGGACGGGUGAGUAACACGUAGGCAACCUGCCUGGUAGAGGGGGAUAGCCUUCCGAAAGGAAGAUUAAUACCGCAUAACAUCAUUUUAAGGCAUCUUAGAGUGAUCAAAGGAGUAAUCCGCUAUCAGAUGGGCCCGCGUCCCAUUAGCUAGUUGGUGAGGUAACGGCUCACCAAGGCCACGAUGGGUAGCCGACCUGAGAGGGUGAUCGGCCACAUUGGGACUGAGACACGGCCCAGACUCCUACGGGAGGCAGCAGUGGGGAAUAUUGCACAAUGGGGGAAACCCUGAUGCAGCAACGCCGCGUGAGUGAUGAAGGCCUUCGGGUUGUAAAGCUCUGUCUUCAGGGACGAUAAUGACGGUACCUGAGGAGGAAGCCACGGCUAACUACGUGCCAGCAGCCGCGGUAACAC
rnacentral:rRNA from 1 species